CGCUGUAUGUCCGGUACCAUACGGCGAGUGAAGCGGCAAAAGACUCAAAUUUGAAAUCUGGUACCUUCGGUGCCCGAGUUGUAAUUUGGAGAGGGCAACUUUGGGGCCGUUCCUUGUCUAUGUUCCUUGGAACAGGACGUCAUAGAGGGUGAGAAUCCCGUGUGGCGAGGAGUGCGGUUCUUUGUAAAGUGCCUUCGAAGAGUCGAGUUGUUUGGGAAUGCAGCUCUAAGUGGGUGGUAAAUUCCAUCUAAAGCUAAAUAUUGGCGAGAGACCGAUAGCGAACAAGUACAGUGAUGGAAAGAUGAAAAGAACUUUGAAAAGAGAGUGAAAAAGUACGUGAAAUUGUUGAAAGGGAAGGGCAUUUGAUCAGACAUGGUGUUUUGUGCCCUCUGCUCCUUGUGGGUAGGGGAAUCUCGCAUUUCACUGGGCCAGCAUCAGUUUUGGUGGCAGGAUAAAUCCAUAGGAAUGUAGCUUGCCUCGGUAAGUAUUAUAGCCUGUGGGAAUACUGCCAGCUGGGACUGAGGACUGCGACGUAAGUCAAGGAUGCUGGCAUAAUGGUUAUAUGCCGCCCGUCUUAA
rnacentral:rRNA from 1 species